ACGGGAGGCAGCAGUGGGGAAUAUUGGGCAAUGGGCGAAAGCCUGACCCAGCAACGCCGCGUGAAGGAAGAAGGCCUUCGGGUUGUAAACUUCUUUUACCAGGGACGAACGAAAUGACGGUACCUGGAGAAAAAGCAACGGCUAACUACGUGCCAGCAGCCGCGGUAAUACGUAGGUUGCAAGCGUUGUCCGGAUUUACUGGGUGUAAAGGGCGUGUAGGCGGAGCUGCAAGUCAGAUGUGAAAUCCAUGGGCUUAACUCAUGAACUGCAUUUGAAACUGUUGAUCUUGAGUAUCGGAGAGGCAAUCGGAAUUCCUUGUGUAGCGGUGAAAUGCGUAGAUAUAAGGAGGAACACCAGUGGCGAAGGCGGAUUGCUGGACGACAACUGACGGUGAGGCGCGAAAGCGUGGGGAGCAAACAGGAUUAGAUACCCUGGUA
rnacentral:rRNA from 1 species